GAAUUCAGCCUUUGAUGCGGUAAGAGCAUAAAUUUUAGGGAAGAUUGUUGAUUUGGAACCCUAUAAAAGGAGAGCUAUUCUGAUGUAUUUUGGGGCAGAUU